GCGAGGAAAGAAACUAACAAGGAUUCCCCUAGUAACUGCGAGUGAACCGGGAAAAGCUCAAAUUUUGAAUCUGGCGGUCCAAGGGCCGUCCGAGUUGUAAUCUAGAGAAGCGUCUUCCGCGCUGGACCGUGUAUAAGUUUCCUGGAAUGGAACGUCGUAGAGGGUGACAAUCCCGUCUUUGACACGGACUCCCAGUGCUAUGUGAUGCGCUCUCGACGAGUCGAGUUGUUUGGGAAUGCAGCUCAAAUAGGGUGGUAAAUUCCAUCUAAAGCUAAAUACAGGCGAGAGACCGAUAGCGAACAAGUACCGUGAGGGAAAGAUGAAAAGAACUUUGGAAAGAGAGUUAAACAGUACGUGAAAUUGCUGAAAGGGAAACGCUUGAUGUCAGUCGCAUCGUCCGGGGAUCAGCCUCGCUCUUUUGCUCGGCGUACUUCCUGGUCGAUGGGUCAGCAUCGGUUUCGACCGUCGGAAAAUGGCUCGAGGAACGUGGCACUCUUCGGGGUGUGUUAUAGCCUCGAGUCGAAUACGACGGUCGGGACCGAGGAACUCAGCACGACCUUCGGGUUCGGGGCUUCGGCUCACGUUCGCGUGCUUAGGAUGCUGGCAUAAUGGCCUUAAGCGACCCGUC
rnacentral:rRNA from 1 species